UCACUCUUUGACCUACUCCAUGGUAUAUAUGGAGAACUUCAACAGCUAUGAAAUCUGGUUGUGGUGUAAAUGAGAAAUAGGCCUUUCAAAACUUGUCUUGUGAAAUUUAUCAAGAAUCUUUAUUCAGGUAAAUCUACAAGUAAAGAGCUGAAGUUCUGAUUUUCUCCAAGAAAAAUGGGCGUUGCACUCUCAUCAUCUUCAUCUUCAUAUAUUAUCUUCGUUUUCACUGAUAAGCAACAAUCUGGAAGCCAAAGCAUCUCUGCUUCUGGGAUAGGUGAUAAAGAAACAGAAGUAUGACCCCUCAUGCCUGCUUUAAGGUAAGGAAUGUUACAAACCUUAGCAGAUUUUAAUCAUAAUGUAGCUUCAGAGUUUCAAAUAUGUAGAUAUGCCGUGCAUAAUGGUGGUCUCUCUUCUCUCCUUUGCAGAUAUGCAGCAUAUAUGGAUGGUGAAAUGAAACGAGGAUGGUAACGAAAAUGGAUAGUUACGUAUGUUGGUACUAUAGAACUGCGCGGUCAGCAGAUUAGCAGUGAUAUAAUAAUACGUGUUUUGGUAUUUUUCUAUUUUCAUGAGCUCAUGCGCUUCAAGUGAAGAUUGUUAUGAAUCUGCUAUACCACAAUGUCAAGUCAGAUCGUCGUAGCAGAUUCAUCAGUUAGAUUGUAUAGGUUUGGAGAAUAGUCCGCGCAGAUGAAAUAUACUUAAAAUGUCAAUUUUAUGACCAUCAGGAAUUUUAUUAUAAGUAUUUUAGCGAAAUGUGCUGGACUGCUGGUCUGCAUGGAGUUAACCAAGAAGUGAUUGCAGGCUAAUAAUUUGACUACCAAACCGUACGAUAACUUUGGGUCUAAAUCAAUUCAAGUGAACAGAGGGUGGUUAUGAUAAAGGGUAGUGCUAGAGGACUUUUUUUUUUUUGGCCGAAAGAUGAGUGAUGAGUGAGAGAGGAAUGACCCCCUAACACUUUUAUGUAUUAAAAAAGAAAAAAAGAAACAUCAAGAGAGGGGGAUUAGACCAAAACCUCUCAUAACAAAAUAACAACGAAACAAAAUUAUGAAAACCGAAAUUGGGGAAGACCCAUAAGGUCACUACUACAAUAUGACAAAAUAAAAGGAGGAGGUGAAUCCCACCAAACCAGCUGUGUUAAUGACGUACCGUGAUUAGCCAGAGCAUCUGCAACCUUAUUCCCUUCACGAAAAAUAUGAGAAGAUCGAAAGGUCAUAUUCGAUAUGCAACGUAAACAAUUAAGCCAACGGACACGUAGAUGCCAAGGUAUAAGCAAAGGAGACCGUAGAUAGUCUAACACAAGUGACGAGUCAACCUCUAACCAAAUAUGCUUCCAGUCUCAUACCCAAGCAAGCUCAAUAGCAACUAUAACUGUCAUCACCUCUGCUGCUACUGAACUAGGAAUGUCAAUGUUUGAAGAAAAAGCACCAAGAACAUGACCUUUAAAGUCACGAAAAACAGCACCAAAACCUCCAACACCCUCUGCAUACUUCCAAGCUCCAUCCGAAUUAAUCUUCACCCACCCAAUGACUGGAGGAUGCCAAACAACCUCAAUAAUUCUUGGAGCUCUUCCCAAUCGACACUCUGCACCAAAACUCUUUAUUAUCCGUAAAUCUUGAACUGAAUUAUGCAUUGGACCAUUUGCAAGCCGACUAGCCGCUCUAAUGUGCCCCAAAAUGAGAUGACAAAUUGAAGCCACAGAGAACGACUUACCGUCAAAUCUGGUCUUAUUCCUCGCAUGCCAUACAAACCAUAAAAUAGAAGUAAAACAGAUCAACAAAGCUCCUUAAGUUGUGAGCUACGUCCCAUACUCAGACCUUUGUGAAAUAAAUCCACAAUUGUAUGAGGAGUAACCCCCAGAUCAAAAAGAGAUAAGAAAUAAGACCAUAUAGCAGCUGUAAAGGGACAAUGCAAGAAAAUAUGUUGCAGGGACUCAGUACAUGCACCACAAAGCUCACAUCUUGAAACCCAAGCCACUCCUCAACGUUGUAUAAGCUCAUCACAAAUUACUCUCCCUUUCAAAACCUUCCAAGCAUGUAGAGACAUUCUAGGCAUAAUAAAUCUAGACCAUAAGGACUUACCCCAAGGCAUGGAGGGAGAUGGAUGCCGUAAAAAUUGGUAAGCAUGCUUUGCAGUCAAAUCUCCUGUAGACGAAGGCAUCCAAAUAAGAGUGUCCUCCAUCGAAGCAUUAGUAGCAAGAGGGACCUGCUCAAUUUUAUUACAUAAAGCUGGAAAGUGAAGUUGAAGUAGAUCAGGAAGCACCCAAGAACCAUCAACAAUAAAAGCAGAAACCAAAUCCUUGUUCCCUUGCAGACCAUCAUGGGCACCAAAAUAAUCAACAAUAGGUCUCCCCUUAAAAUUAUCAUGUCAAAAAUAGAUAUUGUCUCCUGAGCCUAUCAACCAUUGAGAAUUUUCUUUGACAACACCCCAAAAAGGACGAACUCCAGGCCAUAUAGAGGAGGAGGCAUAAGAGCGUCGUUGAGAAAAUCUGUUCCUGAUAAAAGAACAUCCCUCUGAUGGACAUGAAAAUAUAUCCCAACAACGCUUUAGUAAAAGUGAUCGAUUAAGAACCACAAAUUGCUUCAAACCUAAGCCACCCUCAUCCACAGGAACACAACAAGAUUUCCACGCUACUAAAGGAAUCCCACGUUUAUCAAUUGAACCAUACCAGAGAAAAUUACGGCACCAUACCUCAAUACGGCGUAGCAAAGAAACCGGCCACUCAUACACUUGGAAUGUAUAAACUGUAAAUCACUGCUUUAAUAAGGCCUAAAAUUUAUGACAUUAAUCCUAUGUGUCAUGUUAUGUAAGCAAAUAAAAAUAUUUAUUUUCGAUUCCACAUAAUAUAUCUUGCCAAAUCAAAACAUUGCAUUACCAAUUUUAUCAUUUCUAUUUCCUUUUACAUUUUAAGGGGUGAAUCAAUGAUAUUAAUGUAUUUUAUUAGGUAAUGGAAACAAAUAUUACAUAGUAAUAGCAACCACUAAUUAUGUAUAAUAUAAGGAAUGUUUCUUACAUCAAUAUGAAGAUUAACUAUUUUUUAAAUAAUAAUUAGUUUUGUCAAAUAAACUCUAACCCUAACCCUAAUUCGUCCAAAAAGCAAUUAUAAUUCAUAAAAAAAACACUAAUAUAAGAUAAUUUGGAUAUAAUUCAUCAAAAUUUUCUAUAAUUCUUCUAAAAAAUAAUUUAUAUACAAAUAAUUUCUCUAAAUCAUUUACAUACAGAUUAUUUAUAUAAUAUACAUGUAUUUUUUUUAUAAUAUCCAUGUAUUAUAAAUAUAUAAUAUAAUGUUUUUUUGAUGUUAUAUUUUUAUAUUUAAUUAGAUAUUUAGAAGAAGGAAAGCUAAAAUAGUUUAUUUUUCAAUGAAAAACUAAAAUUUAUUAGUCAUUGUUUGAAAUUGACCAAAUGGUAAGAUGGUCUUUAUACAUAAGUAUUACAUGGCUUAAGAUUUUUAAUAUGUGAUGUGUCUAAGUGAUUUGACAUACCACACAUAGAUUUGAGGCUCAAAAUCUUAGACCUUAAUAAGGCCUAGAAUCAUUUUCCUAUGAUAAAUUGAUAAUUGAAUGGUCUGUGUGUGAGCCCAGAAGGGUUGUCCCUUCUGUAAGGGGUGGUGGUGAUAAUUGAAACUGGGUGGUUGAAGGAGUAAUGGGAGAUGAAGGGCUGAGACUAGCUCGCUCACAAAGGAGGGGAAGCAGAGACUAGCUGAGGGUAUCUUAUAACUUCAUUCAUACAUACGUAAAAAAAAAAAAAAAAAAAAAAACUAACGUAUGGAGACAUGGAAUCCAUGGACAAAUUAAGCAAAACUUCAAAACAAAAUGAGAUGCGUAAGCAAUGACUCCACUCCAUCGCUAUAUAUCAUACAUCCAGGGCUUCACCGCCACCACGACUCUGCGAGACCCGCCCACAUAAACUUCGGGCUAACUCAGAAGGUAGUGAUCUGUUACUCCUAUACGACAAAAACUCGAAGCAAACACGUAUCUUAGUCUUCAACACCGCACACCCAAAUAGUGUAAUCAUACAGAUAAGACAACAUCCUCUCACCGCUUUUGUUGCUCUUCAUAUAUUUAGAGCCAAAAUCACCUGAUUCAAUUCAUUUUCGUCUCUGCCUCCUCAUUUCUCAUUUCACUCUAUAGACAAGUGUAGCAGCACAACUCAUCAGCUUUGCUCAUCAUCAUGCCCGGUAAUACAAACAGUUGUGCGUUAGCGGAAGCAGAGGCUCCGUUGUUGGCGGCGUACUCAGCUUCAGACGACGUCGGUUUAAAACACGAACGUCACGAUGAGCUCAUUGAUGAAGAUGACGAUCAACGUCUUGGAAGGAGAGUCUGGAUUGAAUCAAAGAAGCUUUGGCACAUAGUCGGUCCGGCUAUCUUUAGCCGUGUCGCCUCCUAUUCCAUGCUGGUCAUCACCCAAGCUUUCGCCGGCCACCUCGGCGAACUAGAGCUCGCCGCAAUCUCCAUCGCCAAUAAUGUCAUCGUCGGUUUCGAUUUCGGCCUCUUGGUACUAUACUAAGUACCUUCUUCUUUCCUUUUUCAGAAUAUGCAUCACAUUAAUCUUAGUUUUGUGGUGGUCAUGUUUCUCUACUCUCAGUUAGGAAUGGCGAGUGCUUUGGAAACACUAUGUGGGCAAGCUUAUGGUGCCAAGAAGUACUAUAUGCUUGGAGUGUACAUGCAACGCUCAUGGAUAGUUCUCUUCUUGUGUUCUAUUCUCCUCCUGCCGCUCUACCUCUUCGCCUCGCCGUUCCUAAAGGUUUUAGGUCAGCCAACAGACGUGGCCGAGCUCUGUGGGAUUGUGUCCAUGACCAUGAUACCGAUUCACUUCAGCUUCAGCUUUCAGUUCCCGCUUCAGAGGUUUCUACAGAGCCAGCUGAAGACUGGUGUGAUUGCUUGGGUGUCUCUGGUGGCUCUGAUUUUCCAUAUCUUUGUGAGUUGGUUCUUUGUGUACAGGCUUGAGCUUGGAGUGAUCGGAACCGCCGUUACGUUGAGCCUUUCGUGGUGGGUGUUAGCUUUCGGGCUUUUCUUUUACACUAUUUGCGGUGGCUGUCCUUUAACUUGGAGUGGAUUCUCCAUUGAAGCGUUUUCUGGUCUUUGGGAGUUCAUCAAACUCUCUGCUGCUUCUGGAGUUAUGCUCUGGUAUCUCUCUCUCCUUCUCUAAUCUACCUCAAAUUUUGUUUAAUUUUCUUUCCCAUAUUGAUUAGUUGGUCUGACAAAUUUGCUGUGUAACUCAACUUACAGCCUGGAGAAUUGGUAUUAUAGAAUACUAAUACUGAUGACAGGAAAUCUGCAAAAUGCAAAGAUUGCUGUGGAUGCUUUGUCUAUAUGGUAAUCAAGCCAUUAAGUUUCCAUUUUUUCUUUUUGUUUUCUCUACAAAUGCGAAUUAUAUUGUAGUAAGAUCGAGAUUGAAUAGAUUCCAAUUCCAUCAAUAUUCUUCGACUACUUGUGUAGCCUUGUAGAUUCUCUUCAAGUGAUUUAACUCCUUAGUAUUUGAAUAGUGAUUACUGAUUAGAGAUGUUGAUCGAUUUGUCUUUUUUGUAUUGAAGCAUGACCAUAAACGGCUGGGAGCUGAUGAUUCCUCUGGCUUUCUUCGCUGCAACUGGGUAAGUCUACGUCUCUCCAUCUUGACCAUAAGCAAUUAAGCAUCACGCCUAGCUAGCCUUGCAUAAAAGUUUCAAAACAAAUUUUAUUCUUUUGUUCUCAUCUAAAUUAUUGUGGAUGCAUUCACCGGAGCCGUACAUGUAGACCAAGAGUAUACAUAGCCGAAUAAAUCCUAAAGAAAUGUUAUAAUUUUUGACCAAUUUGUUAAUUAACAAAUUUGGAUACCAUUUAAUUACUUCCUACUCAAGCUAAUAAUCAUGCAUUGCAUUUGCAUCUCGAUCUUUUUGACAUAGGCUGCUUAAAGUUCAAACUGCAGUAUAAAGUUAUUAAUUUCUACAAUUUUGUAUCAAGUAUUUUAGGUUUGGACCAUUUGGUCCAUUAGCUACGAGCUGCUAGAUCUUAAUUUCUGAUGUGAGGCCUUCGCUUAUAAUAGCCAUAUAUAUAAGAGUUCAAGAGCGAAACGCCUCAAUUAUAUAUAUAUAUAUAUAUAUAUAUAUAUAUAUAUAUAUAUAUAUAUAUAUAUAUAUCAAUAUGUAGUCCAAAGAAAGAAGAAAACAAUAUAUAGCCUAUCAUUUGUGUCAAUACAAGUAGCUAGUCAAGUUCAAGUUUCCUUUCACUAAUUGGCUUCAUCUGUCAUUCUGUCUAACGAUCGAUCUGGCACAUUAUACAUAUAUCCUUAUUGAUCUAUUGGUACCAAUAGAUUUGUAACUCCAAGCCUCAUAAAUUCAUAAUUAUAUUUUGUCGAUCACUGUUCCACGCUAGGGCUCCCAGCUUUCUUUGUCUGUUAAGACUGUUUUCCACAUAACCCGUCUAUUUUUCAUUGUUUUCAUUCGUAGUAUGCGUUUGAUCAUACGUACGUACGUCGAUGUUGUGCUAAAGGUCGUUUCAACUAGGGUUUUUUGGAGUAGUUUAGUAGGGUAAAGUAAUGAUGAACAGUGUUUAAUUAACUUAAUUAUAAGACAAGACAUAAAAGUCACGAUGAGAAAACAAAAAUUCCCCACUGAGAAAACUCUAGAGUAAUAUAUAGCAGUCAAAAAUCUUUGAUUACAAAAUCUGGGCAACCUUGUUGGGAAAGAAGUGGCUGCCUAAUACAAGGCCGACGGAUAAUUGGUUAUCCUAAGUUCUAACUUUCUCAUCUCUCGUGUGAUUUGCGGAAACAACAACAAAAAGAAGACACAAUAUUUAACGAGGUUCGGCAAAUAUGCCUACAUCCUCGGGGCAACAGUAGUACUUUCUUCCCUUGAUCAUGAAAAACACUUACUCUAGACUAACUAAAGUGGUGAUAACACACCUCUCUCUCUCAAGAGAGGAAUUUUCUUCUCACUAUUCUCUCAAGUGAGGAUCUCACUACUCUCACAAACUCUCUCUAGUUUGGAUGACUCUGCCCUAGCCUUGAUCUUGAACUGGAGCAAGUUCGGAUCCCUUGAUCAUGAACUUGAAAAGCUCAGAUGUCUUUGUUCUUGUGUCUAAUGCCUUUGUAUAGGCAUAGCUCUUCAUGCAUUUCUCUUGUGCACGUACCAUGCAUGGAAGCAAAGUCAAGCUUCCUCUUUGUUUCAUGCUCUCUGUUGGCAUGCUAACUAAUGCAUACUUCCAUCAACAUUCAACAAUUGCUGCACCAUGCACCCUAGCUAUACAUAUAGCUAGCCUUCCUUUUACAGUUAUUAGGUCACCAAAGCAAUAGUAAUUCUUGUUUUCUUCAUGUGUAAAUUCCCACAUGGUUUCUCACCUCCAUUAAGGAGGGACCAACCCAACAAACCUUUGCUGAAAAUUGUCUGCUGUCUGCUGUCUGCUUGCUCUUUUUGACAAGAUAGCUAAUAACGUGAAGCUCAAGUACUGAAUUGACACAAUUUCAUUUGUCAAUUUAGUCGUGUAAGUGUAGAAUUAUGCUCUUGAUUAGAAUCUUGAUUAAGAUUCUAAAACAUAAGGAAAGAAACAAAAACAGGAAAACAUAUCAGCUGCUACGUCUUUUCGAUACAGAUCGAGCUAGAUAGCUAGCUAUGUGGUACAGAAUAGUUCAGUGUGAUUGCCUCAUCUCUGCAAUAUAUGGAGUCAGCUUUGAGAUCACAGGCUGGCUGUGUACAAUUAAAAAUCGAUAAUUUUAAAAAUGGAUAAUUUUGGCAAUAUUUUGUCGAAAAUUUCGUUUUUCUCACCUAACGAUAUAUCUUUCCCAUCCCAAGCAUUUCUCGUCUGAAACUCCUAAUAUAUCCCGAUAUUUUAGAAAAAUCUCAAAAUUCACAAGAAAUUGACGAUAUUCUAUCAUAAAUUCAUUCCAGAUCUGAAAUUUUUGAACAAAAAUUAACUCUCCCCACGUGGAGACUCAAACCUUGGUUGCCAUUUCCACAUGUAAACACCUUAACCAACACUACUAGUACUGGAGAGGGAUAUUGGUUGAUCCAUACAAAUUCUUCAAUAUAUACACUUAAUAACUUUCACAUUUUUCAUCUGAAAUUUUAUCAAUAUUUCCCAAUAUUUCCAUCGAAAUAUCCACUUUUUAAACGGUCGAAAUUUCCAUGAUCGUCGAAAUUUUAGUCCUUGUACAAUAUAUGCCUUUGGCUUUGGGGUUUUCUACACCCUCUUUCCGUCGGUUAAGUCCUAUCCUAUCACUCGCUAGCUAGAAUCAUAUGCACGUUUGUGAUCGAUAUCUUGUCGAUAUUAUAUCUUGGUCAUGUAUAAAUAUCUUCCUAUCUUCAUCCCAAAAGAAAAAUUGUCUUAAGGUUCGAAAACUCGAUCAUAGCCAAGAUUCGAAAACUCGUUAGUAUCUACUAAUUAAGACGGAAAACAGGCUUAGAGUGUUAAUUAUGUUAUGGUUCUUAAUAAAAACGGGUUCUUGUUUUUUCUAGCUAACAUUGGGAUAAGUUGAGUUUCUAUCCAUUCAUUCUUAAUAAGGAGAUUCUCUCUACGUACGUUCAAUUUGCUGUUGAGAAUAUCAAUUGAGUAAAGUGGGCAAUUUCCAUUUUACACUAUUUAUAUUGAUAUUAUGAUUAACGUACAGAGUGAGGGUUGCAAAUGAGCUUGGAGCUGGGAAUGGGAAGGCAGCCAAGUUUGCAACUAAAGUAGCAGUUGUGACCUCUGUUAUAAUUGGCCUCUUCUUCUGGGUUUUGAUUAUGAUGUUCCACACUGAGAUCGGCUAUAUAUUUACCAACAGUAUACCUGUCAUCACUGAAGUAAACAAACUCUCCCUCCUCUUGGCAUUCACAAUUCUUCUCAACAGUGUCCAGCCUAUUCUCUCUGGUAGUGUCCAUGAUCUUUCAAAUACUAAACAAGUUUUCAGUCAGUUAUUUCUAUUUUACAAUUUACUUAUAUACAUACAUUUUCUUUUUAUAGGAGUGGCUGUGGGAUCUGGGUGGCAAUCAUAUGUGGCAUACAUAAACUUGGGUUGCUAUUAUCUAAUUGGAGUGCCAUUAGGGUUUCUCAUGGGAUGGGGUUUCCAUCAAGGAGUUAUGGUAAUUAUUCUUCCUCUUUUUAAUUGAGAAAUUGCACGGUUGUUUAGUUGCUAAAAUAUAUACUGAUCACAUUGAUUUGGUCGCUAAUGAAUACGUACGAUUUGAUUGCUAGGGAAUUUGGGCUGGAAUGAUUUUUGGAGGGACAGCAGUCCAAACCUUGAUACUGGCCAUCAUUACCAUUAGAUGUGACUGGGAAAAAGAGGUGAAUAUUUGUUAGUUAGAAUUCAAUUAAUUUUUGAUUUUGCACUCAUACAUGCAAAAUUUGAUGUGAGAGAAUUUUGUUUUGUUCUAAUUCGCAGGCAGAGAAGGCAAGCAUGCAUGUACUGAAGUGGGCAGACAAACAAUAGAGCAUCGACUAUUUCGAAUAUUAGAUUUUUUGAUAUACAUUUUGAUGAUGUUUCAUUAUUAAAAUGCUACAUGUCAAGACUAAAUUCAAUGAAAAUCCACUGAGAUUCCAUCUCUUAAUCAGUUGAAACCAACAACACCAGGAAAUCCAGAUUAGUAGAUAGAGAGAUGACGAUUCAGUAGAGAUCACAUAUAUUAAGUGUAAUUAAAAUGACCAUUAUCGUAUAGACUCGAAUUUUUGACAAAUUCUACGUACGUAAUUCAAAAUACCGUGAAUAAUUAUUGUUCAAAAUAUAAUAAGCAUAUACGUACAUGUACAAAAUCAGGUCACUGGGAACAAAGACAUGAAUGCUUGAGUUCUUUCCAACAUCUCAAAUUUGUAACGUAUGUGUACGUAUAACCCUCAAAAUAUGUACACAGUUUAGUCGUUAAGCCUAGCUGUUGUUAUACACUUUUUCAUUGUGGCGUUAUGCUACCUGGGAUGGAGUCUUCCACUCUUAAUAUGUGGUGUUUGUUUUUUAUGGUUAAUGUGAUCGAGGAUGUUAGACUGGUAAGGUAUCAUGUUGACAAGUAUACAAUAGCAUAUCAAGUUCAUGUAUGAGGUGAUGGUCAUCAUACUAGUGGCUUCCUUGAUCAUGUACUCUCUUCUUUUUUGUUUUGUUUUAUUUAUGAACUGAAAUUUGUUUAGUCCUUAUGAAUUAAAAUCGAUAUAUGUUUCAGUCCUUAUGAUCUUAUUUUAAUCUGAAUGGUUUUUAAAGUCACGAUUUUUCAUCCAAAUGGUCUUACCGUCUAUUUUUUUUUGUUAGAAUAUUGACUUGACCAUUAAUUACAUUGUAAUUUUUAACGGUCACGUCAACAAUUAAUUUAACUGAGAAAAUUGACAGAAUAAUCAUUUGGAUGAAAAAUAGUGACUUUAAUGUUCAUUCAGAUUAAAAUAAAACCACAAAGACUAAACAGAUGUCGACUUCAAACCACAAAGACUAUACAGUAUUUUACCCUUUAUUUAUUGUACCAUUUCAUUGUUUAAUUUGUAACAAGCCUAAAGGCUUUGCUUUGUUUCAUUUCAAGGCUUGGUAUUGGCACCAACCUUACUGUACUCUUUUCUUUUUUCUUAUUAAUAAAAUUUCAGGUUAGGACGACGAGUUAGUUCUAUUUCCGCUUACUCAAAAAAAAAUGUACACAGUUUAAUCUAUAUUGCUGCAAGUUAAUUACUAGUCGAUAAAGUUUUGGUAUAUAUAAUCACACAAGGUCAUACCAGUGACUUGUAGAGAAAGUGAACCAGUCCUAUGACUCCUAUCACGUACAUCUCUUUUAUAUCAAUUAAUUGAGUUCAAAUUAAUGAUUAGAAACGAAAGAGAGAUUCCUAAUAUGUGUUGAGAAUUAUGAUGUUACAAGUAAAUGCAAAUUGGCCUGAGAAGUAUCUCCAAAUAACAAAAGAAACUAGAUUAGAACAAAAUUAGAAACAUAAACUUGUAAUCGUAGACUAAAUUAAGGAACCCAAGUCCAAAAACUUUAAUGGGAAUGAAAACCUCCAGCAGAGACAAUACCUAAAGCCCAACCCAGAACAAAACACGUCUUUCCGAGCAACACAAGGCUACAAGCACAAUAGAAUUUGAAGCAUCUUGUUUCAUACUUCUAUAUUCCUCUAGCUUGGCAUGGGUAUGCAGAUUAAUAGCUUGGGCAUAUAUAUCUAAGGGCUUCACUUACACAGAAGUUUAUCUUGUAUAGCGUGCUGGUGAAACAUGAAAAUGAAAUUAAAGUAAUGUUCUCCAAGAAAGAUGGUGUUUCACUCUCAUCAUUGCCAUUCUCAUCUUCCUCUUCCUAUAUUAUCUUCAUUUUCACUCUCGUCUUCAUCUUCAGUGAUUUCAUCUAUGUCCGGAUCAUAUUCAUCCGUUUCUGAGUCUGUAACACCAACCACCUUAUCUCCUGGAACAGCCUCGUCUAAGUACCAUAAAACAGCACGAGGGAUGAUAUGGUUGCGAAUGGUUGACCUACACAAAAAUAAUGGCAACAGCAGAAAAUAAAACACGUUGAGUGACAGCAUCAUCAUAUGUGAUUGGGAAUAUGGCCAUGAUCUACUCAGUAGUAAACAAAAAUGAACACUCACCCAAUGUAAUAAUCUCGACUCAUGUCUUCUCUGAGUUCCAUCUUCUGUUUAUAUAUAAGAUGAAGAAAAAUCGAAUAUAUAAGAUGCACCUAUAUAUUAAACAUUCUAAAUAACCAAAAAAAAAAGGUUUAUGUUAACUCUUACUGCCCAUAAAUCAAUUUCAAGGGGAUGGAAAAAGUUGAAGAAACUUUCACUUUCAUUUGUCAAACAGUUUUCGGGAUACCAAUCAAUCUCCAUCCUGCAAUGCGCAACUGUGAGCUUAGUGAUAGUCGAAAAAUGAAUAUAAACAACCAUGUCUUAGGGAAUACAGUAUAUGGAAGCCAACUUACCCUAUCGCUUUGUAUAGAAUGGUUUCAUCAACAUCAAGAAACUCAUACAUCUUGGUCAGGACAGAGUUUUUAAAGAAAGGGUUGUCGUGAAAGCAAAACUCAAGUAUGAAACCCUUGGAGUCAUCUUUUCUCAACCACUUGAUGUCUGAAAGAUACUUGAGAGCUUCUCCAUCACGAGCAGUAAUCUGAUUGCAAAGGAUCAGAGAGUCAUAAAAAACCGGUGAAUGAUUUUCACAUGCAAGUUAAAAUUAAUACAAAAAGUGACAUAGAGGCAGUAAACUCCUCACCUCCGAAUCUAGCAACUCAUGGUUUACCAUAGCAUGGUACCAGAAGCUAGGCACGCCUUUCUCUACCAAGAGAAAUGACCAAGAAUAACAGUUGGUAAAUGUCACAAAGGUAUUAGUAUUACAUUACAAAUAAAGGUAAAGACUCGAGAGUGUACCUUGGGGAGCAAGCUCUUGAUUUACUGCUUCAGAAUCAUUAAUCCCUUUUUCAGCUUCAACAACACCAUUUACAAUCCCACAUCGCUGCAUAGGAAACAAGUUUCCAUAAUCAAAUAAAGGAGGGGAAUAUAAACUUAUCAUUCUACAGAUGCGCGCAUAAUACCUCAUUGUAGAUUUUAUCAUAAAAUCUCUGAUACUUGGCUUCAAGUUCUGCUCUUUCCCUGUAAAACUUUGCCUUUAAUCCAUCAUAUUCUCUCUGCAAGUUGACAUAAAACCUUUGAUUUAGAGUUGAAAUUAUGAACUCAUCAUAACGAAAGAUAAGACAGCAGGCUAGCUACCUGAAUGUUUCUAAGAUGGUCAACACGCUUCUGAACAUCCAGUGAUAGGUUCUUGAGGAAACAUGAAUGAAUUGUUGUCAUAUUAGGCAGCCCUUCUCCGCAAGCCUUCCCCGUAAACCAUAAUACAGCACGAGAGAUUAUAUCAUCCCGAAUGAUAGAGCUGCAAAAAAAAUAAUAAUACCAAGAACGGAAGAAAACAAGUCAGCAAAGUACUGAAUUUUGAAGUUCUCAAUUCUCCGCCAAAAAAUAACAACAUUCAAAGGAUUCUGAUUUCUAGAAGAUCCGACAAAAGGUAAAAGUUUACAAGUAUACAUUGUGAUCUCAAUUAUAUAUUAAGUUCAUGAGUUUAUCUACGUGAAAAGCUAGCAAGUUCUUAUGAACUCACCCAAGUAGAUAGUUUCCUUCCAGUACACUCUUUAUUACUCGGUCCUGUUGAGACAGAAAGAGGAAGAAGUAAGACAUUAUACAAACAUAUACUUACAAAAACAAAAAAACAAAAUCUCCCCUUUAAAUCUGAAGGACCAUAUUACUUUGUAGUUACUAUCGACUUCAAUUGGAUUAAAAAUUUUGAAGAAACUUCUUCGCUUCGUCAACCGCUUUUUUGGAUACCACUGAAUUUCCGUCCUACAAAGUUUCAAGUAUGUGUGAGCCAACUUAUUGUGGAUUACAAAUGCACAUAAACAAAAAUAGCCUAUUUAGCAUUAUAGUAAGAUACGAAGAACUUACCUUACUAUUUCAUCUAUAAGGCAUUCGUCUUCAUCAAGCAUAUGAUAUGUCACGGUUAAAACCGAGUUUCUGAAAAAGGGGUUUGGACGAAAGUAGAACUCGAGUUUGAAACCCUUAAGGUUUUGUGUCCUAUGCCACUUGAUGUUUUCAAGAUGUUUGAGAGCUCCUUCAUCAUAGUGUUCAAUCUAAUUUUUUUCACAAAGAAAAAACCAUUGACUUCAUAUAUACAAAUUCAGACUAUGAACAUUAGUUUACAAAUUAUAUUAGGAUCUCACGUAUUUAUUUAUCGCAUUACAAGCUCUCAAAGCAUAGAGCCAAAAAUUAGGAAUCCCCCUUUCUGCAAAAACAAAACAAAAAAAACAAAAAACAAAAUUAACUUAGAGCGCAAUGACAAUGUCAUAAACAUGGUAGACACCGGAGGGUACAAAUUACUGAAUGCAAUUAAACUGUCUAACCAAAUAUCAUAACUCAAGAAUCCUGAAUUUUUUUUUACUUCUUUGAUGGAAUUUAUAGCUUAAUAAUUUUCACAAAACAAAUAUAUAUAUAUAUAGUCCCCUUCCAAAGAGGGAUCCCUCUUUGAAAUUAAAGUGCGGGACUCCUUAUUUCGCUCACUUUCAGGUCGUAUUUUCACAUCUCAACCGUACAAUGUCUAAAAUACAGUGUGUAGAUCAUUCCUACAAAGUUUCAUCAAAUUUAAAGAUCAUUUGAGCUUCCGUAAUCGUAAUUUACAUGAACGGUUCUGUUUGGACAACUUUUGUUCUGUUGAUUUAUUUAAUCUAAUUCGGUACCCAAAUGAUCUUCAAAUUUGAUGAAACUUUACAUGAAUGAUCUACACACUGUGUUUUAGACAUUGUACGGUUGAGAUGUGGAAAUAUGACCUGAAAGUGAGCGAAAUAAGGAGUCAUGCACUUUAAUUUCAAAGAGGGAUCUCUCUCUGGAAGGGGAUUGUAUAUAUAUAUAUAUAUAUAUAUAUAUAUAUAUGCAGGGGAGAUGAGCAUUACCUUCUUGAUUUGUUGUUUCAGGUUCAGUAUCAACUCCAAUCGCGUUUACGAUAUUAUAUCUCUGCAAACUAAUAAUUAAUCACAACCUAUUCUUUCUAGAAAAAAAAAAUAUAACUUGAUACUGGAUAGUAAUACCUUGUCAUACAGAGGCUGAUAGAGUUCAUCAUAUUUAGCUUCAAGUGCUCCACGAUCCUUGUAAAACUGUGCCUUUAGUUCAUCAUGGUCCUUCUGCCAGUUGAGUUAGCCUCAAUAUGCUACUUUCAUAUACAAUAAUAAUGAGACUAAUAAAAAAAAGUAUUAGAACACGUUUAACUAAUAGCCGAAGUUUCAAUACUCCGGAUUACUAAAUAAUACAUAGCCCAAGGUCUACAAAGUUGAAGAGUAAUACUUGUAUCUGUAUCAGAUACUGAAUGCGCUUUCGGGCAUCUGGUGAGAUCCGGUGGAGUUCAUUGUUCUGCACGGCAGCACGGAUAAACUACUUAGAAAAGAAAAAGAAAAACAAAGGUUGAUUCAGAUAUUUACAGUGCAAGGCUACUCACCUUGUUUGGAUUAAGACCAGGUUGAUUAUCUUCAUUCCCAACUUAUGCAAUAGAAAUCAAUAGAAGAGUGAGAAAGAACGAAGAUUUGUAUCACAAACAAACGUAUACAGAGAGAGAGAGAGAGAGAGAGGGAGAGCGAGAGUACGUACCACAAGAGCAGUGAUCGGACGGACUGAUGUCUUCAGCCAUUCUGCUUCUGAUACGUAAUAUAAUUCUUAAUCAGCAAGAAGAUAGAGAACAAGCAGGCGUCAAACCCUUUCAAAAUGAUGGAAAUGAUAUUUUGAUUUAGAACUAAUUAAUGGAAAAGGGAAAAAAAAGAAAAAUCAAUUUCCAUCAUUUUGGAGCACGAUAGUUCUUCAGUGUGCUAUUUUGAAGCAAGAAUAGUUGGGAUACAUCGUGCUCCAUAAAAAGGACUACAUAAUAAGAAUAUAUAUAUUUUUUAUUCUUCUGAAAAAGGAGGAGAAGAAGAAGACCGACCUGAAGCGGAGAAGAAGAUGUUUUACAAGGUCAAAGGUUGCAUGGAAUUAUUUGUUAGGGUUUCACUACUUUCUGAGCGGGCUACAAAAACCCACCAAACUAACAGAUUGUGUACAUACUAAAUAGAGGACCCUAGCUAGCUAGCUCUUUCGCUUAUACGCAGUGGGCUUCUUAGAUCUAGCCCAGACAGGGUUAAGCCGUUUAUACUGUCAAUCACUAUUAUUAGGGUUUCAAAUUCCCGCUGCCCAUCGACACCUUCUUCUUCUUCCUUCUUCUUCUUUCUCUUGUAGGCUUGUAGCCAGAAGAAAGAACCCUAAUUUCUGUAAUCGCAAAGAAAUAUGGAUAUUGAUUACUCUCUAAACGCAAUAAGAAUCAAGAAAACAGGAUUUUUCUACAAGGGAGAACGCAAAGUACAAUAUUCUGACUGCAAGAAACUCACGGAUGUAUGGCUCUCUCUCUCUCUCUCUCUCUCUCUCUCCUCUCUCCUUUCUUUCUUCUUUGUAUUUUUUUUUUGGUCUCUCUUGCUUUCAUUUCGUAAUAAUUUUCAUUUCUCUGUUUGUUUUCUUACUCCCAAAAUCGAUCAUAGCAUACCAGUUUUAAUCGAGCAGUGUCUUUAUUCAAUUUAGACUUCUGUUUUUUUAUUUAUCGUCUUCUCUGUGAGUGUUAAUAUCUUAAGCUAUUGUAAUAGUAGUUUAAUCUCUUGUGCUGUGUUGAAAUUCCACUUGAGAGGUAUUUAUCCUGAAAGAAACCACAAAUACUAAAUUGAUCACCAACUAAGUACAAAUUCUUCUGGGGAUAGAGGAAGUAAUGUUUCAAUUGAGAUGGCAAACCAUUGAAACUCCCCUAUUAUUUCCUUCCGGGUUAAAAAUGGAGUUAUUUUCAUAAUUUUGAUGAAUUUGAAAAAUCAAUUUUAUAUGCAUCAUUUAUCGCAAGUCGUAACACCAUUGAUCUCUCUCACAGUCUGCCCGGCGGAAGAGAAGUGUUCGGAUGAUGAUGGAGCAUACAUACACGUAAAUAUAUAUAUAUAUAUAUACAAGGCCCUUCUAACGAGGGAUCCCUUUUUUUGUUCAUUUUUAGGGAUAACAACUCACCAUUAUAUAUAUAUAUACUCCAUCUCUAAUGUUUGUCAUUGUUGCUUUCCUUCUCUAUAAGCCCUUCAGAAAUCGUUUACAUUUUUACUUUUGCAGCCAUGCCAAUCAAGAGUCUAAGACUAUGUAUAACUCUUACUUGAGGAUGAUAUCUAUAUACACGGCAGCCGGACGAUUUCCAUCUGAUCCACCAAAGGCUGAACUGACGGAUGAGGAAAUAGUUCUGGGGAUAACCACUGGGAGCAGUACACAAAGAAUGUUGGUGGGGAUAAAAACCGGGCAGAUUACACGAAAGAUGAUCCGGGAUAUAUUUGUUAAAGAUGUUGUUGAGGUGUGAUCCAUUCUGUUUAGCUAGCUAGCUAGGUUGAAAUAUUGCUUAAUUACAUAGCAAUUGAAAGUUUGAUCUUGACUGUUUUGGUAGGAAAUGGGAUGGACGCUGCCAAAGAAUUCUGAUGAUGAUCAUCCUAGUGAUAAGCAACUAUUUGGAAGCAAAAGUCCCAAAAGCAUAUCUGCUUCUGGUAUAGGUGAUGAUAAAGAAACAGAAGUCUGAGCCCUCAGGCCUGCUUCAAGGUAAGGAAUGUUACGAUAUUUAGCAGAUUUCAAGGGAAGAUCGUCAAAACAGUACCUGAAUUUUUCCCAACUCCAGUGCCUCAAGUUUAUAAAAUAUCAUCGUCAUGAGUAUACAUUAUAAUCAUUAUGUAGAAGUAAGAAUUUUCGAGUCUACAUUCUAAUCAAAAUGUAGCUUCAAAAUAUGUAGACAUCUGUAGUUCUGUAGUAGUCAUAAUAUUUUGCGGUGCGUAAUGGUGGUCUAUCAUCUCUCCUUUGCAGAUCCAACAUGCAUGGUGAAAAGAAGGAAGGAGGAUGCUCUCAAAUGGACUGUAAGAGCAGUAAAAAAGAAGGGAGGAUAAAUGCUUUCAAAUGGAUAGUAUGUUAGCAGUAAAAAUAAUAAUACGCUUUGUAUUUUUCUACUUUCAUGAGCUCAUGUGCUUCAAUAACAAACUCAAUUCAAGAUUGUUAUGAAUCUAUACUUACAAUUAGAUUCAUAAAAUUUUUUGUGUUAAUUUUUUUUUUUUUGGUUACAAGUGCAUAAACAACAUUCAGCUCAGAAUGCCACAAUGACAUCAACUACCACGUCAAAGAAUUGGUAUCCUAUAAAUAAACUGUUCAAUGAUUUACAGUUUUACACCCCACAUAAUAAUACAAUGAUUUGAAUCUGUAAUGAACACCAUUUAGCCUCAGGCACACGAAGAACAAAAAGAUAUAAUCAGAAUCCCUUAUAAUAUUGAUGUUACCCGGACAGAGUUAUCAGCAGAUCCUGUUAAGAAAAUGGGCAGUGUCGGGUGCCAAUCUACAGUAGUUAUGGCAGCACUGUGUGGGAGAGUUUUCAACCCAUUUGUAGCAUGACCUCUAACCUAAGCCAAGUUAAGAAAUGAAGACUUGAUUAAACAUAAGCAUCACCUACAUCCUCCAAUUCUAGUAAUCAGGUAAAUCAAAGAACAAUUUGACUUCCAAAACCACAAACUAAAGCGAUUCAUAUUGCAUUGCAGGCUAAAAAUGUUUAGCAGAAACUGGUGCAUACAUUAUACAUGAAAGGCUACUAUGUAAUAAAGGGGUGGUGGAGAGAACAACCUGAUAAAUGGGUGCUCUUACUGAAGCAGAUGUUACCAACAGUCUCCUCCCAUUAGCAUCCAAAGCCAUUUCAUGUCUGCGAUCUUUUGAGCUCUCAGGGCCACAGAACCUACAGUAUGGAAUAGAGUUAUGUUAGUGUAUCUUUCUAUAUGAAGAUAUAUUUUGUUGAUGGGAUCAUAAGACUGGUGUGUCACCAAUAUUUAACUCUUAAUAUGUGGCAAAGAAUUCAGUACCUGCUACAGUUCCUUGACCAAAGAAUUUGACCUUGGUUUUGCAAGCUCCAUUCAAGAAUCUGACAGUGCAGACCAAAUAAGUGAGUUCAAAUAAUAAAGGAACAACAACUUCAAAUGCAUAGUUUAACUUCAUGCCCAAAAUGACUUGCUUGCCUUUCCAUCUACUCCCAAACUGAAAAUGCUAGUCUCAUCAGGCCCAAAAAGAAUGGAGCUUAUAGCAGAGUCAUGUGCAGGCCACCCAGUUAUUUGUUGACCCGCAGACAUAUCUGUGGCUUGUUAAGGAGUUCAUUAUAUAUCUACAGUUCUAAAUUGAUGUAGCAGUGCACGCAACAUCAGCUGUGCAAAAUUUGAGCACCCACUUACCAAGACAAAAAGCAUUAUCAACUUCGGCAUUUUGCAGGAGGGUGCUUCAAAAUGGAACCCCAGUAAUGCAAAGGUACCCAAAACAGGGUUUUAUAUUCAUGUAAAUAAUUAACAACCCAAUUUCAGAUACUAUAAAAACCCCUAACAUAAGUGUGAGGAUACCAAACAUGUGAAUCAUUCCAUCAGUUGCAGCGGCUGCUAAGAUCUUCCCAUUGUGAUUGAAACUGAGAGAUGUAAUUGCGGGUGGAUCUUUACCAAGAGGAAGGACUGUCUUCAUGAAACCCAUAAGGUUAUAAAUAUAAGGGAAGUAGCAAAGUAGCAAGCAGGUACGAGAUUUGGUACUAUCAAGAACAUACCAUGGCCUUCCAUGUCCUCAUGUUCCACACAGUUAAUGAAGCAAAACCCAGACUAUCAACAUAACUUGAUCCAUGCCUACAAAGACAGUAAACUCCUGCGUUAGAUAUUCAUGAGGAUACAUAUCAACCAAAGACAAGCAUAAAUGCACACCUAACUUGACGUGAAUUAUAACUAGAAUAUUUCCAUGCCCAAACUCUAUCAUUUCAGUACCAAGUGCUCAUAUUUUAUGAGUUGAAUAGAGGUAACACUUCAGUAAGAUACAGUGGUAAGUAGAGAUCAGGAAAAGAGAAUACCCCUUGGAUGCUGCAGCAGAAACAAAAAUUGGCUCUACAGGGCUGCAUUUUAUAUCCAACACACUGCAGGAGGGCAAGAAAAGGUAAGCAGAAGCACCAAGAAGUAGAGAUUUGUAAUGGUGGUAACAGAAAGAACCUUGGAAAUUCUUCACUUGUCUGAAGAUCACAGACAACUCUCUUCGCAUCAACAUUCCAUGCUUUAAUGCCUCUAUCAGCAGUGCCUAUGAGAAGCUUUAGUCAAAAGAACAAAAAGAAACUUAAAAAUCCAUAUACUCAAACUCAAAUAAGCAGACUAUGAUUCCAAUGACGAGCAAUAAAUGAAUGAAUCAUGAAAAUCUAAUCUGCAUACCAAUCGGUCAGAUUUACAUUCCCAGUCAAGUGACAUAAUCUUGGCUCCACAAUAAAUGGUUGCAUUUCUGGAUGCUGGAGUUGAUGAGUCAUAUGUCCAUAUCCUACAUUAAGUCAUUAAAUAUGAAUGAAAAAGUAAAUACUGAUUGUAAAUUUAUAAUCAGCUAAAAUCCGAGAAGUUGAACAAUAUAGUAGCAUACAUGAUGGGUAUACAACAUGAGUAACCAAAGGAAUGUAAUACCUAGCCAACAGAGCGAGGAAUUGACAUAUGAUAUAGUGAUAUAUAUGAAAUGCAAAGGAAUUUAAAAACUUGGUCAGCCCCAUACAAACUUUAACUACUGUACCCAUAUAUACCUCACUGUACCAUCAUCAGAUGCGCUGGCUAUAUUGUUUCCAGAAGCAGAGAACCUGCAGCAACUGAUUGGACUUGUGUGGCCCAAAAAUGUCUCCUGGAAACCAUGGUCAUCCGAAAGUUAUAGUCUCCAACAAAGAUAAACUAGUGAAAGUAGACGAAAAUCAGUUAUGAAUAUCAGGAAGCAAUGAUGCUUAAGAAAUUUACUUGAAAGUCAACUUCAACUUCAGGUAAGUCUUCUACACGGCUUUCCCUACCGUUUUCUGCUAUAUCACAUUCAAUUGUUAUACCUACAAUGACAUAUGAAACAGCAUUGCACUGACCUCAAUUCACAAACGAGAAAGAAGUCAGAGAUAGAGGUUAACUACCAUCAUUGGAACCAUCCUGGAACAGUUGAAUGGUAUCACCAGUUCCACCAUGAAGACUUGGUGGACAACUCAAGUCAUUAUUGGACUUGGAUAUUUUUAAUUCUGAUUGACUUCCAAUAGAUACAGCACCCUGAUCUCGAUCAACCUCUGCUUCCCCAAUUUGAAAUGUAGCAAGAGCGCCAGUUUCCUCAGCAUCUUUAGAUGUAAGACGAUUUUCCUCAGGCACUACACUUGAUGAGCUCUUGGUUCUUUCAGUGCUUUCAUCCACUACUGAUGAAGCAUUACUGAGUUAAAAAAAAAUAAAAUUAAUAUAUAAGCCUGCACCAAAUCUAUACAAAAUACUGGAAAGAAGACUCUGAAGAGAUGAAAAUAUGGAAACCAUUACCUUCUUAACUGGUAUAACUGACCAUCUCUUUCCUCCAACAAAGCUUGAAGUUCUGACAACUUGAGAUUCAGUUGCUUGAUGUCUCUUUUUAAACGGUUGACAGUAGUCUUCUCUGAGCUAAUUUUCAACAAGGCUGGCAGGCGUGGUUUAGUCAAGGGCAAUUUCUACAUAUCUUAGUCACAAUGUGCCAUAAAAAGGGACAAAUCAGUGAAAAUCAACAGCAAUUCAUCUAUUCAUCUAAUGAUUCUAAUCAAUACUGGUUUUGAUAUUGGAGUUGGGAAGUUCUGAUUUAUGUAUGGAACUUGUCCACCCAUGAACACAAUAUCAUUAGCAGCAUGCUCUCAGAUGACAAGAAAUGUAUAUAUGUAUAACAGAAAUACUAUAUCGAAGGAUAUGAAUACCGUUGAAGAUCUCACUAAAAAAAUUCCUCACAGAUAACCGCAGGGCCUCAUACCAUUCCUUUGAGAAAUAUAUACGAAACUCAGGAUCAGCACUUGGCUGUUUUACAUACGGAAUGGCUGCACCACACAGACAAGAAUGUAAAUCCAUGACAAAACUAGUAUGCUAAAUCGAAACAAACAAAUGAAAGACAAACCUACCAAACCACGGAGUCCAGUCCUGGCUCCUUUGCAACAACUCAUUCCCCUUCAUACCAAAAAACUCCAAAACCUUCUCCCUCCUCCCUACAUUUACUGCAUUGACAACAUAAUACCGCAAUAUAGAAACCUCCAUCUUCGACAGUGUAGCCAAAAGCACAGUCUCCGAAGACGAAGACAGACACUGCUUGAAGAAACUCAACAACCCAACUAACUUCUCCGCCUGAAACUUCGGUACAUACACCGAGAAAAUCAACUCCAUUAUCUUCUCCACUUGAAACCCCUUGCCAAUAUCCGUCGACAACUCGGAAUCAAAAGCUUGCAAGGUCUUAGUAAACCCCCUAAACACUAGAAACUCCCUCACAAGCUCCUCAGCAUAUUGCAUAUUCUCCAUCUUACCCCCAACUACACCAUCAACACCAAAAUGCUCACCUUCUCCAAAUCUACACUAAAAUCGUAAAUUCCAUCACUAAAUCACAAAACUGAUGAUCAAGCUCUCUAUUACAUAAUUGCAGAAAAAACUCUAAUUGCUUCAAUUUUAGCUCACAUUUAUAAACAAGCAAGUAUAAUAAGUUAUGGGGAUCCAUAAAGCAUUGACCUUGAAGACAAUAAGAUGAAAAGUUCGAAGCUUUAUGGGUUUAGAGAGAUCUAGGGUUUACAGUGAUUGAAAAAUUGAAGGAGAGAGAGAAUCGUACCUUGUGGAAUUGCAGAUGGGUAUUUUGGGUUUGCAGCGAACUGGGGAUUUUUGUGCCUGGGUUGGGGAAUUGAGCACUGAACUUACCUACAGGUAUGAUUUUUACAACGGAAACUGGGUUUGGUUAAGCUUUUCACAUAGGGAGUGAGAAUUGGGAAGUAAAAAUUGGAUUGGCGCUUAAACUUUUGCAUUGGUAACCGGUAAGUUAAUGUUUUUUACCGGACUAAUUUCUCAUGAUUUUCUAGUAUAUGGUUACUAAUCCUUUGUUUUCUUUUUUUCUUUUUUGGAAUUUUUGACAACAUUUGUAAUUCAUUUUUCUGAUGCCCAAAUGGUUGGGUGGGGGUUGCGUUGGUUUUGUUAGGUAUUUCUUUCUUCAUUGAAAAACCAAUAAGUCAGGUUCUGGAUCUUUACCUUUUGUUAAGCUACACGUCAUGGCUUUGAUAUACGAGUGGUUUUUUUAUUUAGUAUGACGCAUUAAUUUGUCGAAUCUGAUGUUGAGUUUCAGAAGUGGCCCAAUGAAUAGCAUUUUUUGGUUACCUAUGCUUAUAGGCUAUUAAUGUUGUGUUAUUCUUAUUAUGAUGGGUAUUUUUUAGAGUUGACAAAAGAUUUAAUUUGUCGUUAAUCAGACAUUUCGUGAUCACUUAUUUAUAAUCAUUGAUAAUAAAUAUACUUGAUAAACCAUUACAAUUAUAAUAGAUAACAAGUGAAAAUUAAUGAUACUAAACCUAAAAUGACAAAAUGAUCGGACAUAUAAUUUAAUAAUUAUAUUCAAAAAUAUUUAACCGUCAAAAACAUGCAUAACAAAUUAAAUAAUACCUUGAGAAUCACGGUAAGUUAAUAAUAAUAAGUAUUUUACUUUAAUUUUCACGAAUGUUGUUACCGAUUCUGACCAAUCAAGUCAAAAACCUAAAUAUUCUUUCCAUCACUAGUCCCAUACCAUCACAAAUCUUCUUUGCCUCAUGAACAAAUUAUGUGAAACAAUCACAAAAAGAUAACCAAAACAAAAGAGAAAGUACACCCCUAAAGAGGCAAAAACACCUGAUGUACACACCUGAAAAAAUAAAAUAAAAACCACCGCCAAAGCAAUACCAGGCCCAAAGAAGGCCGUGAUUACUUUCGCUUUCUUAUUAGAUUCACACAUUCCCUCUUUUUGCUAGUUGUACAUUCCACAAGUACAUAAUCCAGACAGAAAGCGAAAGCCGAUUUCUUCAGCAGCCAAAGACGACGCCGUUUUGGUGCCCUAAGAACGGUUACAGGUCAGUUGCUAUCUCCCUCCUGUAUAUAUCUGCAAAAAUUGAGAAUUGGGAAUGUGAUUUCUUCACUUUCCCAGUAGGAAAGGCUGUUCCUUUCUUCCUAAUCCCAUGGAGAAUCGGAAAACCCCCAAAUUUCCCAAUCCCUAAAGCACUAGGACUCUUUUCUUUGCUUAGUUUUAUCAUAAAAAGCUUACAGAUUUCGGUGUUGGAGUUCAAUUCGGAUUAGGGGUUUGGUAAUUGGAUCGGUGAUUUGUGUUCAUUGUGAAAUUAGGGUUUUGCUGCAGUUUUAGGGUUUUGUAGAUGGAUUCGGAUUUGGAGGGAAUUGAGUCGAGGCAGAGCACUCUGCGGAAGGCUUAUGAGAGUGCAAAUGAUCAAGCUUCGUCGAUUAUGCGGUUCACUUUGCAGUGGAAGGAGCUUGAGGAGCACAUUGAGUUUACUAAGGAGUUGUUCAAGGCUCGAUUCGAGGAGGUUAGGAAGAGGGAGGUAGAGAUUGGGGUGAAGGAGAAGGAGAUGGAGGAUGAGGAGGUGAGGUAUAAGUCGGAGCGCGAUGCGAAAGCUAUGGAGUUGCAUAGGAUACAGAGGGUGGUUGAGGAGAAGCAGAAGAGUGUUGAUGAGAUGGAGAAGCGGUUUAAGGAGGUGGAGGAGUUGGUUAGGGAGAAGGAGGUGGAUGGUAGUUUGAUUCGGAAGUGUAAUGAGGAGGCACAGAGGAAGUUGGAGUGGUUGGAGGAGCAGAUAAGGGUGAAGGGGGUGCAGUUGAAGUAUGUGCAGGGGUUGGUUGAGAAGCAGUGGAAGGAGUAUGAUUUGAAAGAGGUGAUGAUUCGGGAAAUGAUUGAGAAAGAGAGAGAUUUCGGAUUGCUUAAGAAGUCGAUGGAGGAGUGGGGCGGUAGACUUGAGGAAAAGGAGACGGGGCUUCGGAGAUGGGUUGAGAAGCUUGAAGGACAAGAGAGAGAGAUUGGUGCUAAGAUUGAUGAAGUGAAUUUGAUUGAUAAGAAGGUCCAUGAAUGCCUCAACGAGGUUCAGUUGAAAGAACAGCAAUUGUAUUCCCUUGAAAAGUCACUACAUGUGCAAUCAUGUGGACUUCAAAAGAAAGAGAAGGAGCUUGAGAUCAAGCGAGAACAGUUGGAUUCGAAUGUGGUUCAAAAAUCCGCGGACAUACACACCCAGGAUUUGAAAUCAAAGGAGAAUAGUCAUCAAUUGAAGGAUGAGGAAUUGGAAGAUACUAUUCCUGCUGCUAACAAUGGGAACAGGGAUGGCAGAGGCUUGCAGUUGUUAAUGAAUCAGCAUUUGAGGAGGAAUAAUUUAAUGCUUAAAGAAAUCGAGGAUACUCUUCAAAGGUCACCAGACCCAGCUAAAUUGGUGUUGGAUGCAAUGCAUGGGUUUUAUCCUUCACGUUCAACUGCGGAAAACAAUGAGUUUGACUUGACAGUUGUUAGGAGGAGUUGUACUCUUUUGUUGGAGGACUUAAAGAGAGUCUCUCCAAAAAUUACUCCUCAGUUGAGAGGAGAAGCAAUGAAGUUGGCAGCUGAGUGGAAAGCUAAGAUGAAUACUGACAACUGGUUUGAAGUUUUGGGUCUUUUGCUGCUUAUUGCUGCAUAUGGUUUGAGCUCUGAUUAUAAUGUGAAGGAACUUGAAAGUCUUGUUGGCAUAAUUGCUCAGCACAACUAUGACACAUUUGGAUUAUGCUCGGCUCUUGAUCUCGGAGCUAAGGCACCUGAUCAGGACACACCAAGUCAGAGCACUUCGAAAAGUAAUUCGAGCAGCAUCAAUUGUUCCCCUGAUAAUAAAAUUGAGAAACCUGCAGAUUCUCCACUGGCCAAUAUCCAGCAGACUUUAACGAACUCGCAGGUGUUACCAAAUGAGCAUUUGAGGACUGGGAAUCAAUUGAUGAUUCCAGUUGUUACAGAUGGUUCCUGUCAGUCACUAGUUGGUUUAGCAGGCAAAGUGCUUGGAGCAGGUAUAAUCCAGGAUCUUAUUGCAAAGAAGCAACUGCUUGAGGCCGUUGUACUUAGUUGCAACCUCAAGUUAACCGACAUGUUUCCACCAGUGCCACUCUUAAGAGAAUGUGCAGACGGUGCAAUAUCUGUCCUGAAGGGUGUGAUUGGAUGCAUCAAAGAUUACAACCUAGAGGCGGAAUACCCAUCCAAGGACAUUGAAUUGCAACUUCGGAAGCUGGAGUGCCUAAAAGUGGAUGGGCAAGCUUCAUGUAUUGACGCCAAGCCACUUGGUAAAAAUGCUAAGAAGAAAAGGUGGAGGAAUCAAGAUAGCAACUCUUAUGUCUCCGAUUUGCAACCACCGCAACAAGCGAAGAAAAAACACACAAAGUGUUACUAUUGCAAUGAGCCGGGGCAUGUAGUGACCAACUGUCCCCGAAGAUGCUGAAGGCUCAUAAAUUGUUGGUAGUUUGGUAUAGGGACAGAGAAAGUUUUGGAACUUUUAAUGUACAGGAUCACAGGCUUACUUCUUUAUGUAACUAUCGUGAUGGUGUUUACUUGUCAGCUUUCUUACAUCCUUAUAGGGCUUUCUUUCUUUCCUUCUAUGCUACCCAUUACAUUUGUUCUUGCAAGAACUUUAGAUCCCCAAACACUUCAGGAUGGAUACGACUUUAGAUUGACCAAACUAAGCCUAUUGGUUUUAAAUUAAAUCUAAUCCCGCAGCAUCAAUCCCAGGGAUGUCAUUAGACUUCUUGGUCUCUUCUUUCUUCAAUUUUGGCUGUACAUGCUUAUAAGCUUAUAGCAAUCCCCUUCCAGAUUGAGAAGUUUACUCUUAUACGAUAUCAUUCAUACAGAAACUUCACAAACAAAGUUCCAAAACAAGAUUCAUGUUGCAGUAACUAAGCAUAUAAUGUACAGUUGAGCCUCCUUUUAGCUAUGGCAUACAAUCUUCACACAAAUGAACAAACAUAACAUAACAAAGAAAUUAAGGCCUACGUGACUGUAAUGCCACGGAUCAAGAACAUUAAUUAAGCACAAAACUUGUAGCAACAACCCCAACAAGGCCUUUCCUUCUAUAAAAGAAUCCCCAACUCUUUCAUACUUCAUCACACACAACCUUUCCCACCAAAAUUUAACAAAAGCUUUUCAAUCCACUGCUUUAGAUGGCUUCAAUUUCAGCGGCAGCAUUGCUAUCUUUAGCAACACUGCUACUUCUGGGGGUUGGAUCUAAUGCAGGCGGUAUCGCAAUUUACUGGGGCCAAAAUGGAAAUGAAGGCACACUAGCACAAACAUGUGCCUCAGGGAACUACAAAUUUGUGAACAUAGCUUUCCUCUCAUCAUUUGGCAAUGGCCGGACCCCUGCCUUAAACCUUGCGGGUCACUGUGACCCCUACACCAAGGGAUCAUGCACCAAGUUCAGCUCGCAGAUCAAGUCGUGCCAAGCCAAAGGCAUCAAGGUCAUACUCUCAAUUGGGGGAGGUGCAGAAGCCUACUCUCUAACUUCAUCCGAAGAUGCCCGCCAAGUUGGUGUUUACUUGUGGAACAACUUCUUGGGAGGACAGUCCUCUUCAAGGCCGUUGGGAGAUGCUGUUCUUGAUGGAGUUGACUUCGACAUUGAAGGAGGGAAUGAUCAGUACUAUGAUGACCUUGCUAGGUACCUUUCGGCGCAAAGCAAGAAGGGCAGCAAGAAGGUUUACUUGACUGCUGCUCCACAGUGUCCCUUUCCUGAUGCUUAUAUUGGAAAUGCACUUAAGACAGGCCUAUUUGACUAUGUAUGGGUGCAAUUCUACAACAACCCUCCUUGUCAGUACACUUCUGGUGAUGUCACCAGUCUUGAAGAUUCUUGGAAGCAAUGGACUUCAGCCAUUCCUGCACAGAAGAUCUUCUUAGGACUCCCUGCUGCACCUCAAGCUGCCGGUAGCGGAUUCAUUCCUGCUGCUGCUCUCACUUCAAAGGUCCUUCCGGGUAUCAAAACUUCGGCUAAAUAUGGUGGUGUCAUGCUUUGGUCUAAGUAUUAUGAUGAUCUUGAUGGAUACAGCUCCUCCAUCAAGAAUCAUGUGUAGAAAUAAAUAGAAAAGGAUCCUUGUGUUUGUGAUCAGAAAUCCUAUAUGGACUUUAUGAAUAAUUAUAUAAAAAAAUGAACUUUGAUGAGUUCUGUUUGUGAAAGAUGUACAUCUGUUUUGACUAUCUAGGGGACAUUGUGGAAUAACUGCAUGUAGCUUGAGAUGAAUGGUGGGUGUUGAUGGUGAAUGAGCUGAAGUGGUUGUUGACCUCUCUCUUCAUGGCUCUGUACACAUGAUCUAAGCCUUCAUCAAUCAACUCCACAACUGUCUGGGGCAUUGGUGGCAUGUUGAUCUCGACCGAUCCUUCCAACAUCCUCACCACUUCCCCCAUUGUAGGUCUCAUGAAAACCUCAUCUUGUAUGCACCAAAAUGCAGUUUGCAAGGCUCUUACGAGUUCUUCUUCUUCCACUGCUCCUUCUAGUCUCCUAUCUGCAACUUUCAGUGGCUCUCCACUUGUCAUCUCCUACAAGCAUGAUCAAAUUCAUUAGACAGUACUCUCAAAUUUUUCACAAGUUCAUUUGAAAGUAAAUAGAAGUGAUUUAUAUGUUACCUUGAAAGCCCAUCCAGGGUAAAAGAAGUCAUCAACAUCAAAAGCCAUGUCAAGGUUUCUUCGGCCGCCAACGAUCUCUAGGAGAAGCAUGCCGUAGCUAUAGACAUCAGCCUUGACAGUUAUAGGCCGGUUGCUCACCCACUCUGGAGCCAAAUAGCCUCUAGUUCCUCGGACCAUUGUAACAACCUGUGAGUGCUCUCUUCCCAUCAACUUAGCUAGUCCAAAGUCAGAAACUUUAGGACAGAAAUUUUCAUCUAUAAGAAUAUUUUCUGGCUUAAUGUCACAGUGUAUGAUUCUAUCUCGACAUUGCUCAUGAAAAUAUGCAAUCCCUUGUGCAGUCCCCACAGCUAUGUUAAAUCGAGUUUCCCAAUCCAGCAACCUAUCUCUAGAAUAAACUGAGGGAAAUAUCCAUUUGUCCAAUGACCCAUUUUUCAUGAAUUCAUAAACCAAAAGCCUGCAAUGCCAGCACAAGAAGUAUGCUCAUAUAUGGGAUUCUAAUGAUGCUAUACAUUAUGCAAUUCUUAAUGUAGUAAUGGAUGAGAGCAUAAAACUGAAAUCCAAGAACUACUGCAUACCGUUGUGAAGCCUCGGAGCAGUAGCCACAUAGCCGAACCAAGUUCAUGUGAUGCAUAGAGCCAAUGGUGUUCACUUCAGUUAUAAACUCCUUCUCCCCAUGGGGCAAAACCCUUUCAAGUUUUUUAACUGCAACCAAAGUACCAUCUGAAAGGCUUCCCUUGUACACGCUCCCAAAGCCACCUGAAAAAGUAGCACAUAUACUACUUACUAUGUACUAUAUACAACCCAAAUUAGAACACAAACAAUUGAAGUAGCAUUGUAUUCCAUACUUACCAGUUCCAAGCAGCUGUGAAAAAUUCCAUGUACGGACUUGUAAAUCACGGUAACUAAAAUUCAUUGGAGCACCAGAUAACAUUAAAGACAUUUCCAUGGCUCUCUUGAAGGAUCUUCUCUUAUGCACAUUGUAAUAUAGUAACAGACAUAGGAGGGCUAUAAGAACAGUCAUGCUCAGAACAAUAGGUAUAACCAAAACCUUUUCUCUCUUACUACUAGACCCAUCUGAUGAAUCCCCAGAUCCUCUUGUAUCGCCCUCUGGUGUCACCGAGCCAUUAGACCUAAUUUUAACAAACAACGUUGAGCUAGGGUCCUGAAAGCCACCAAAGUCCAUGCUCCUCAAAACCCAACAGUAAGCCUUUUCGUCAUCAAGCCCGUAAACUGAAGCAACACAUUCACAAUCAGCUAAGCAGACAUCUCCACAUUGUGAUACAUUUUCAAUGUCACUAUAAUUUGCUAUGACUGAAAAUUCUGGCAAAUAGUAAUUGGUUUGCUGCACUGCUGACAUUCUAAACUGUGAAGGCUGAUAAUUCUGCUUCGAGUCACAUUUUCCGAUCAAUGAUGAAUUCUCUGAACACUGACCUUCACCAUUCACCUUAUAAGUCCCUGGCAGACAUGAGCAAGAGGCAUUGGUCUUAGUCCUAUCUAAAGUACAAAUCCCAUUACCACAAAUUCCAGAAAUGUCACAUGGUGUUGAAACUGCAGCCCAUUCUGACACCCAUUGCCUUGAGCCAUUGACAUCAUUAUCCCAACGAUAUAAACGCAAGUUUCCAUUAGUCUCAAGUGUCAUUCUCCGAAGGACAGACAAUCUGUUUGAUCUGUUUGAGGCUGCUGAUAGUCCUCCAUCAUCACCAUCAUUCUUGUACACAUACACAGCUCCAUCUGAAGACUCACCAUACACAAUUCCAAAGCUUCCUGCUUCAUCUAAAACCGCUAUGACAUCUCCUGUCACAUUUGAUAUCUCCGGUCCAGUCCAGUAGGAGUUGUUAUAGUAAGACUGUGGUGAGGUAUUGUAACUACUUUCUGGCAUAUUGUAAGUCAAUGCAAGGCUUAACGAAGUGCGCUCUUGAAGCAUUUUGAGAGCAUAAUAGCCACCAUGGGAGGGUGACUUAGCUGUUGUGAGUUCCAAAGAGACAGAAAGAGGCUGGUUUGGGAGGAGAGUAUCAGAUGGAUGUGAGAAACUUUGCCACACAGGGCGGUUGGCUUCAUUGUAUAAGAUAAAGUUUCCGGAUUCUAAUAGGGAUGCAAAUUCAACGCCGGUGCCUGAAGUGUUGGAGGUCCAAAUAGUAGCAUCACCAUCCAUGAGAACAAGGUUUCCAGUGGUCUCUAGCUCCAGGAUUGCAUUGUUGGUGACAGCAGAAUUUCUAGAAAAUGAAAUUUGUUGGCUUAAGUGAUGAAGAUCAUAUUUGACCUGCAAGAGGUGUUGUAAAGACUAGAGAUGGGAAAUUGGUUUUGAUCUUUUUCUUUUCAGAAGUCAAAGACUCAAACCCAGUAACCAUCCAAGAGUAUGCUAAUCAACCAUGUAAAAACAGACUAUAUAUGCAUAUUCAAAGACUGAUUUAUGCAACUUCCACAGUGAGUACAAGUAUAGCACCAAUGCUCUACACUAAGUACCGAUGUAUAGAACUAAAAUACCGAUACCAUUUUAAUUUUUCGUACUUAUGAACACGAUAACUUAUAGUCGAUCACUCUAAUUGUUUCCCCCCUCCACUGGGUAAUACCUUUUCAGAACUUGCCCAAAAAUAGAUAUACCAAGAGAAACUAAAAUCUGUUAGCUUAAGUAGUGAAUUGUGAUCAUGAUCAUAUAUACUAACUUCAAAAGCUAGCCACUAAAUACUAAAGACUCAAAAAUCAGUGACAAUCCAACAGUUCUGUUCUGAUCAACUAACAAAGCAGACUGUGUAUAUAUAAUGACCAUAAUCAGAUAUGCAAGAGCGUGAUACUCAACUACUGUAAAAAACAGAUUAACCAAACGACAUAGUUUUGUUGGAAUUACCUGUUAGCAGACCAUACUAUGGCUCUGUCUCCAGGAAGCUCAGCAAACCAAAUUGCCAGUUGAAAUCUGUCAUCUUCAUCCAUUGGACUGAACCCAAGAGCAAAUGUACCAUUAUCAGAAACCAGCGUCUGGUUCUCUUUAGCCAUCAACCUCGAUCCCAAACUCAUCUGGCUAGCCAUGCAGGCACCAAACUUAGCUAGAAUCAAGAAGAACAAGAACAACACCAAGUAAGUACCAGAGGACAUUUUCUGGAGCUAUUGCUAGCCAGUGUAGUAGUAGUAUCGCCAAAGAGCCAAGUAAGCCAAAGAAAAUGGUUGGCUAGGUGUUGCUUAUUUAAAAGAAUUGAAGGAGCGCAAAAUUGAGGGGAUAUGGACACGUUUAUGAAGAAGUUGGUGAGCUAAAUUUUGACAAAGAGUUGCAACAAAUGGGUAGGCUGAGAGGUCCGUUGGGAUUUUGGGCAACGUGUUUAUUGUAGUGUGGUGUUGGAUUUGGACUGUGAGUUUGUGACCAACCGAAAGGCAUGAGAUUAUUGACACGUACUUGCAAUAAUUUGCAUGAGAAUUCUGGCUUUCACAUUGGAGCCGGUAGUGAUCAUUUGGGUUCAGAAUUCUGAGGAUUUGAUGGUGACUUAUGAAUCCUUGAUUUGAAAGUGGAUUUGAUGAAAGAAAACGACUUACAUUGCGCGAAGGAUUGUUGAAUUUUGGGUGAGAUGAUGAUAGGCAUAGAUUAUAUGUUGCUUUUGUUAUUUUUACAAUAAUGUAGUUUAAUUUUUUGAGAAUUUCAAUAGACAUCUUGCAACGUAUUAUAUCUUGUUAUGUUUAAUAUUCUAGCAUUAUUGAAUAAAAACACAUAUACUCGUUUUAUAAAAACUUAAAGAUAUUAGGAUGGAGGUUAGCAAUCUCUUGGAUCCAUCCAUAAGUUAAUGCUUAGCUUAUCCGUACAACACAAAUUCUGGAUGCACGACUCACAAGUAUUUUAAAUUCGAAUGAAACCGGUUUAAACAGUGCAAAAUUUUGAUUCAAAAGUCAUCAUAAAUUUGACAUUAAAGUCUAAAAUGCAACCAAUUUCUCAUUUCAACAUCUUAUCAACUUUGUGAGCUGCAAUUAUUUGGACAUUAUAUGCAUGUCUCAUGGACCAGCAAGUGAUUUGAUUCACCUGUUGAAAAUUAGGGUCAGGGAUUUGAGGAAUUCUGAGUUUUGGGGGACCUUGUACACUUAAUUAGAUAAGGGCUUAUUAACUCCAGAUUUUGACGUAUAUAUUGCAGAAAAUUUCUUGCGUUGACAUAAUCAUUAUGUGAAAAAUCUUCCUUCUAAUACUGUCCAGCUGCCCCGUAACCAAAGUCAAAUAAUUAUGAUAACAAUUAAAAAAUAUAUAUAAAAAUUAUUGUAACUAAAUAAUAGUAAUGAUAACAAUAAUGCAAAUUCCUCUUAUCCUGAACAAAAAAAUAAUAAUGAGCCUGUUUUCAACAAAAAAUAAUGGGCCUCUUGGGCCCCAGCCAAAGUAAGUUUGGGAGUGAAAACUUGGGCCGAAAGACGGCCUACCACUUUUGGCGCUCUUUUCCGCGAACAAUUUAAAGACGCGAACGGCGUCGUUUCAAUUAUCACCGCAGCCCAAACUACUAGGGUUAGCUUUCAUGAAGUCGAACCUCCUUUCAAUUUCACCCAAUCAUCGAUUCCAUGUCAACUCUCUCCCUCCCGGAAUAUGAACAUCUAUCACAACACACAUACAUAAAUAACACCCUGAAUUAUUUGUUUUCGUUCAUUGUUUUUGUACAGAUGGAGAAUUUGAAGCGGAUAUUAUUGGUCACUCCAAAACCCUAAACCUGAAAUAUUGGGUUUUCUGGGUACUUUGCUGUACGCAAAAGAGGUACACUUUCUUACUCCAUAGAUUGGAGCAAGUCAUUUUGUUUAUUGCUAAUAUGGGUCCUCAAAUAUUCAAUUAUAAUGAUUUUUUGAUUGAUCAAGAACAUUCUUUACGGAAUUAAACUGCAUUAUGAAUGUUUGGAAUCUCUUUGCAUUUGCUUAUUGUCUCAAAGAGGGGACAUUAGGGGGGACCAAUUGGUUUCAAGUCACUCUCCCUUUUCUGGGCAUGUCACUAAAACCUUGGUUCUUGUCAAUCUCUUUCUCCGACACCCCCGGGACCAAUGUCUGCUAAUUUUACCUGUUUUUGUGACUUGUUUAUCGAAUUAGUACUGUUUAUAUUUGCUCAAUUUUUUGAAUGAUAAGGAUGUGACUCUCUCUAACAUGUAACUUGAGCUUGAGGAGAAUCAGUGUAGAUAUAUAGUGGAUGAAAAUGCUUGAGAUUUCCUUACCAAGAAAACUUUCCGAUAUUAUUGUUGUGCCCGGAUUUGGAUAGUUUUAACUGAUGCGCAGACAGAUGUACGUAGAGCUACCUAUGAAGAUGAACAACGUACACUUGAAUCAAUCCAUUUGUGGUUUUGAACUGCUCGAAUUUAUGGUUAUUGUCUUCUAUCUAUUGUGUUUGUUCUGACGUUGUUAUGUAUUGGAGGACCAUGAGAAUCAUUGCCUGGAGUAAUUUACAAGGGAAGGAAACUUCAGUUUCUGUUUCCUUCUGCAGGGUUAGAGUAAUCUUGGUUUUUAACAUGUUAUGAAUGAAAUUCAAAUGGUUAGUCGACACUCAAGUUAAAGCUUACAAGUUUAUACCAAAUAGAAUAUAAAAAGGUGUUUGUGAAAGUAUGAAUUUCUGAAGAACAAAACCAUAUUGUUAAGUGUCAAGACAAUGAUGAUGUUUGAAUUUUCAUUUCCUUUUCUUUUGUGUUCUUUACUUUUCCUUUUUACUAGCUAGGUCUGGGCUGCUGAACUUGCUAACAAAGGAAACACACCAAGUUAUGGUUUCUCUUUCUCGAUGCUCAUGGCUGGUCCAAGGUUCCUAUCUAUUCUUAGGGUUGCAGGACUAUGAGUCUUUAACAUGUAAGUAAUAAUCCAAUACACUUGCUAAUAGUCAAAAGCCAUUUUAAGGGCCUGCAAUAGUUCUGUAACUUUUUCCCUUGUUUCUGCUGAUUUAUGAUUCAUAUAGCAACUAGGUAAUUGUUUAGCUAGUUACAUCAUAGUUUGAUUCUGGUUUUACUGAAAGAUGGUAAGGCCAGCCUUAAAGACCAAGUUAUAAGCAUAAUGACACCCACCAUUCCUAAUUACUGGUUCAACCUCUAGAACUUACAGCUUUGCAACAUUCAUAAUUGUAGUGCAGAAAUAUUAUUUUUGUAAUUAGAACACUGCUAAUUUCAUACAGCAUAUGAUGACUGUGACAUAGUAGAAGAAUAUAUUAUGUCAUUUAGGUUGAGCAUUGUGCUAAGGUUGUUAGGAAGUGAGCAUCACAUGGUGAAAUCAUCCUUUCAAACUGGUCUAACCUCUCCUAAAUUUUUUGAUAAAUACAAAAUGACAUCAAAAGACAAUGACAAAGAGUAGCCAUGCUAAGCAGUAUCAACUCCUUUUUUCAGAACAUAUAUAAUAAAGGUUAUAACUUGUGAGAGAAUAUUCUGAAGUAAAGAGAAUGCAUGAAUGUGCUUUUCUUAGAACCAAUUUCAAAUUUUUACCUUCUAUUUAUGGAAUGUUCUUAAGAAGUUCAAAUACAUAUGAUCCUCUUCUUAUCCUCAUUUUAAUCAAGCUUCUAAAGCCUGCUGUGCAAUUAAACUAAUGGAACAUGCAUGAACCUGUUUAUAUUCUCUGCUUAAUUGAUAAUAUAUCUUUUAUUUAACAGAAAUUGCAUAUGUAAAAAGAAAUCAUUAAUCUUAUUUGUGAACUUUAAGAAGAAAAAUGAUUAAAAGGAAAUGUGGGGUUAGCUUGUGAUGCAACAGUACAUUAUGGAUGCUUGUAGGGGCUCACAUUUCUCUGUUUCUUUUCUGCUUUCCUCUUUUCCAAUUAUCAAAAUCCAGUGUCUCUUGCCCAAUGUUUUAAAAGGCUAAGGCGUAGCCGAGGCUAUGGAGCGAGAGCCUCACUAAGGCGUAAGCCUUGAGGCGUAAACCUUUUGAAAAAAAUAAAUUUCCUGCUAUAUAUAACAUAUUCACAAAUUCACAAUGAACCACAUAUUAUCACAGAAACAAAUUCACAAUGAACUACACACCAGAUGAUUGAUCACUCUAUCACAAAUUCACAAUGAACCACACACAUAGCUCAAACAUUCAUCUUUCUCAUUAAGAAAACACAAUUGAAUCUGAAAUUCGGAAUGAUGUGCGUACCUCAAAUCAAUGAUGAGUUAGUGACCGAGGGAGGUGGUGGUUUGAGGGUGCGNNNNN
rnacentral:lncRNA from 1 species